rnacentral:tRNA from 3 species
GCCGGGCUAGCUCAGUCGGUAGAGCAGUGGAAUCAUAAUCCACGUGUCAUUGGUUCGAGUCCGAUGCCCGGUACCA